GGGGUCAGGAUUUUGGGGUCCCCUCUGUCAAUGGGGUCUGGGUUUUGGGGUCCCCAUGGGCAUUAGGGUGGGGGUCCCAGGUUUUGGGGUCCCCAGGGGCUUUAGGGUCAGGAUUUUGGGGUCCCCUGGGCCAUUGGGAUCCAGGUUUUGGGGUCCCCUGGGGUAUUGGGGUGGGGGUUUUGGGGUCCCUUUUGUCAAUGAGGUUGGGGUUUUGGGGUCCCCUGGGUAUUGGGGUGGGGGUUUUGGGGUCCACUUUGUAAAUGGGGUCAGGAUUUUGGGGUCCCCUGGGCAUUGGGAUCCAGGUUUUGGGGUCCCCUGGGGUAUUGGGGUGAGGAUUUUGGCGUCCCCUUUGUCAAUGGGGUCUGGGUUUUGGGGUCCCCAUGGCCAUUAGGGUGGGGGUCCUGGAUAUUGGGGUCCCCCCUGGGCAUUGGGAUCUGGAUUUUGGGGUCCCCUGGGUAUUGGGGUCCUGGGUUUUGGGGUGAGGAUUUUGGGGUCCCGUACCCAUCUCGGCGCUCCAUGUUUGGGGUGGGGGCGCCCCCAGGAAGCAGUGAGCGGCCGUCAGCACCCAGCGG
rnacentral:lncRNA from 1 species